rnacentral:rRNA from 1 species
GAGUUUGAUCCUGGCUCAGGAUGAACGCUGGCGGCGUGCCUAACACAUGCAAGUCGAACGGAGCUGCUUUGAUGAAGUUUUCGGAUGGAUUUAAAACAGCUUAGUGGCGGACGGGUGAGUAACGCGUGGGUAACCUGCCUCACACUGGGGGAUAACAGUUAGAAAUAGCUGCUAAUACCGCAUAAGCGCACGGUUCCGCAUGGAACAGUGUGAAAAACUCCGGUGGUGUGAGAUGGUCCCGCGUCUGAUUAGCCAGUUGGCGGGGUAACGGCCCACCAAAGCGACGAUCAGUAGCCGGCCUGAGAGGGUGAACGGCCACAUUGGGACUGAGACACGGCCCAGACUCCUACGGGAGGCAGCAGUGGGGGAUAUUGCACAAUGGGGGAAACCCUGAUGCAGCGACGCCGCGUGGAGGAAGAAGGUUUUCGGAUUGUAAACUCCUGUCGUUAGGGACGAUAAUGACGGUACCUAACAAGAAAGCACCGGCUAACUACGUGCCAGCCGCCGCGGUAAUUC